UAGCAAUACCCCUCUCAUAAUCUCACACACUUUAAACAACAAGAAGUCUAAGAAAGGUAUGUUGUGGUUCCAUGGAAGAAUAUUCAAUGAAGGGACCUUAAACUGUUCAAUUUGUUCAUUCAGGAGCUUUGUUUUGUUCACGCGGAAAACUGUUGGUGAGGGCUUAUGAUCUAUGAAUUGUGACUUUUGAUAACACUUCUUUGACGAUUUCAUCCGCGUUUUAUGAAUCAAUUGGGAAAAGAUCAAGUGAUGAUCUUGAUCAGCUCUGGCGUAUUCACUGCAGCUAUACAUAUGACAAUCUAGGAGAGUCAACAAAGCCUUGAUCUGUCGGCUAUUGCUCGAUCUUAGGAUUAAAUCUAAAUUUGUGGUACGUAAAAGUGAUGAGAUCGGAACCGUCAUGUUUCUUUGCUUAGGAAAGGGAAUUCGUCUUUUAAUUCCAGUAGGCCAUCGUUUGUAUUGAAUAAUUAUGAUACAACUAAUCGGUAAUAAUAGUAGGUGUCAUGGUAAUUUCUUUCUCUGUCAUCUCUGAAUUUAUGUUGUAACUUGCUUUUAAUAUACAAAGGAU